CACUUAAAGUUACUAAAUGUUCUGAAGUUGCUUAACCGUCUUCCAUUGCUUCAAUUCUAGUUGCUUCUAUUGUGUCACGAACACCAAAACGCAAACGGUACACACCUCUUCGCUCAGAAGAAGGGCGAGCCGAGGGCGGUUCUCACAGAACCUGCCAGUAACAGGUGGCCGGCCGGGAGGAACCUGCAGCAUUCCCUCCGCCGACGCCUGGACUCGGGGCCGCGUGGGCUCCCCAAGUCCUUCCAGCCACCCACACACCCUCCGGCGGCCACGCACCCUCCCUGCUCCCCCAAGCUUCCGCGUUGCGGCGGCCUGAAGUGCCCCACCACCUUCCCGCUCCUAGUUUCCGCUCAGCGCCGCGGGCGUCGGCACAGGCUGGGAAGCCCUGGGAGAAGCACGUGCCUCUUCUCGAGGCCUCGUCACCCGGGCGGGAACUCCUGCCGGGUCUCCACGAGCCCUGCCGCUGGUCCCCAGUCUACCUAAGUACGCAGGCGCCGAAGCUUCUAGACGCCGCCGAGUGGCCGGGGCCACUGUGAUGCGUUUCACCUGCCUGCCCGCAGCCUCGGCCCAAAGUGUGAGGUUCUGAACCGUCCCCGACAAAGUGGGGCCAAAUAAUAAAUGCGACGAAAAUGAGGCCCUGGGGGUUGGGUACCUUGUUCCGGAGGUCACACAGUUGUCCAAGCGAGUGCAGAGCCGCGUCUCGUGGUUUCAUUCCACCGCGAAGUCAGGAGGACUGCUGGGACGCACAGAACCCGCCUCAAGUUGCUGCGGGCGCAGGCAGCCCAGAACAUAGGCCUGGAGCGGCCCUAGUGGCGGCUGCGUGAGCCAGGGCGGCACUGGGGCAGGCCAGGCAGGUCGGUCGAGCAAGGAGACCCUGCCCCCGGGCGCCCAAGCCCAUGCAGCGAGAGCGAAAAGCCUCUUUGCUCCGGCCACCGGCCCAGACUCCCCGGCACGUGCGGGCCGCGCACCCCAGGGGCCACAGCGCAUAGCGGGCUUGCGCGCCGGAUCUCCGUCCGCCGGCGGCGCCGCAGGGUGACGCUCAGCGAGGCCGCGGCUGCGCCCACCUGCGGACUUUUGCGGAGUAGGGGGCUGCUGGGCUUAUUUACAGACUAGGAAGGCGUGGUGCGCCCGAGCCGGAACCUACGGAGUCCGGAGGGAGGACGCGGCCGAGAAAGCUUCACUCCAGCCGGGUCUCGCAGCCAUGAGACAGCUCGGCAUGGAACCCCGGAGGAGGGGUCGUUCUUCAAACCCGGCCUCAAGUUGUGCUCUCAGUUCUCACACGGAAUAAAAAGAAUAGGGUGUGUCGGUCACUUCGCAGGAAACUUUUCGUUGUUUCCUUAUUUCCUUCCCUCCUGUGGACAAGUUGAGCAGCUUCUGGGCCUUACGCCCAGGAGGUUUCAGACCAAAAAGGAUCGGGACUCUGGGUCUUCUGGAGCAUCAUUCCAACCCACCCCCACCUCUACCCCUGUCUUCUUCAGGGAAGGUGGAACCCUCCUUCCGACCCCCUGCUGCAAUCCAGAAGUCUGCUUCCCCUGACAAAGUGAAACGCGUCCCUAUCGACUCUUCUAGAUUUUUGUUUUUGCGUUUUAAUACGAACAAAGAUAGUUUGGCUACUUCUGGCAGGGCCUGAGGGUUUAAAGGGACAUCUUAGCACGUGGAAGGGAUGACUCGGAUUCCCCCAGCCGCCAUGAAGCCACUCGGGACAGCUCAGCAGAAAGGAAGUUCCCUCCACCCACCCAAGACCAGGACCUGGGCUGGAAGCAGAAGAGCAACACUGACAAAUCGUUCAUUAAUUUGCAUUUAUUUUCGGGAAAUAAUGUAGAUAAAGGGGGGAAGAAAAGGGCUGCCUUACAUUUCAACAAGUAAUUUGCGAUCUUCACAUCGGACAAAUCAAAUUUACAAAUUACUUUCCCACCUACUGGACGAAACGGCCAAAGCCAAAAUUGAUAUACAGGCAUGGGCUCUCCGUAGAUUUCGGAGAAUGAAGGUGCACUAAAAACUCACUAGACAAAACAGGGUUGUUUAAAGAG
ensembl:lncRNA